rnacentral:rRNA from 1 species
AUUGAACGCUGGCGGCAGGCCUAACACAUGCAAGUCGAACGAGUGGCGGACGGGUGAGUAAUGUCUGGGAAACUGCCUGAUGGAGGGGGAUAACUACUGGAAACGGUAGCUAAUACCGCAUACCAUCAGAUGUGCCCAGAUGGGAUUAGCUAGUAGGUGGGGGAAUGGCUCACCUGGGCGACGAUCCCUAGCUGGUCUGAGAGGAUGACCAGCACAACGGGAACUAGGAAAGGGUCCAGACUCCUACGGGAGGCAGCAGUGGGGAAUAUUGCACAAUGGGCGCAGGCCUGAUGCAGCCAUGCCGCGUGUGUGAAGAAGGCCUUCGGGUUGUAAAGUACUUUCAGCGGGGAGGCGUUACCCGCAGAAGAAGCAACGGCUAACUCCGUGCCAGCAGCCGCGGUAAUAC